rnacentral:lncRNA from 1 species
UUAAUUUAAAAUUUGAUUGGAUUAAUCCAAACCCAAAUUUCUCACCCAAAUGGAUGACAUACAAUUAACAACCUACAUCGCACUAAAUACAACUCCAAAGGCGCAUAAUAAAAAAAAUAAUGCUUAAAAAAUAACUCAUGUGAUCGCUUAAAAGAUUAGAUGACUUUCGCGAAGUUCUUCAGAAAAAAAAAAAAAAAUGCACCCUGCGCCACGUGCUUUAAUAAAAACCGCGUGACAAGUACCAAACUUAAACUCAGGAAAUAAACAACAUCAGUUUAAAAUAAAGAGAGCAAAUUGAACUCAAAGAAUACAAAAAUAAGAAUAAAGUACAAAAUUGAAUUCUAAAGAAUAUGAAAAUAAGAAUAAAAUGUAGUAAGAUUUAAUCUCGCGCUUUAAAAUAAUAAUAAUCUCAUGCCAAACUUUGAGUUUUUGUCUAUAAAUAGAGGCCCAAAUAAGAGAGAAAUGGCAGGUGCUAUUUAGUUAAGACCAUAAAUUGUUUGUGUUGGAAAUAAGAGAUUUUGAAAUUCAACUCCUACUUAUAUAAGUGAAGACGAGAUUAGGUUGCCGUCAGAUUAAAUAAUAAAAAAAAAGAGAGAGAGCGAAAGAGAGAGAAAUAAAUCUUUAUCCAAAUACUUAGACUAAUUUUGAUCAACUUCUUGUCAAAAUACCAAAACAAGCCUCCUGAAUCCUCUGUUUCUUCUAGUAAAAAAUCUCACAAAUUGAACUAUCUUUUACGAAUACCAUGCCUAAAGCUCAACCAAUGAAGUUCCUUAACCAAAUCAAGGAAAAAGAAGAAUUUAAUCCAACUCAUUGAUAUAUAAUAUAUAUUUUUCCUUGGUAAUCUUAAAAUUAAAAGUAUAUUAAUCACUUCUGAACUAUUCACUCAGACCUUAAAAAAAAUUCUUACCGAUACCUUCGGCCAUGGAAAUUCUCUGAGUCCUUGACCAAUAUUCUGCAUUUGAAAUUAAUUUUUCUCCGGACCCUCUUAGCA